UAAGUGAAGGCCAAAGAUGCGGCGCCUAGCUGUUAAUUAGGAGAUUGUAGGGAAAUUACUCACUUAG
rnacentral:tRNA from 1 species